rnacentral:rRNA from 1 species
AUUGAACGCUGGCGGCAGGCCUAACACAUGCAAGUCGAGCGGAGCGGCGGACGGGUGAGUAAUGCCUAGGAAUCUGCCUGGUAGUGGGGGAUAAAGUCCGGAAACGGGCGCUCAUACCGCAGCCUAUCCGAUGAGCCUAGGUGGAAUUAGCUAGUUGGUAGGGUAAAGGCCUACCAAGGCGACGAUCCGUAACUGGUCUGAGAGGAUGAUCAGUCACACUGUAACUGAGACACGGUCCAGACUCCUACGGGAGGCAGAAGUGGGGAAUAUUGGACAAUGGGCGAAAGCCUGAUGCAGCCAUGCCGCGUGUAUGAAGAAGGCCUUCGGGUUGUAAAGUACUUUCAGUCGGGAGGCGUUACCUACAGAAGAAGCACCGGCUAACUCCGUGCCAGCAGCCGCGGUAAUUC